UGUCAGAGCACAAGGGAAUUUCCCAUUGGUCCUUUGGGGUUUUGGGAAUCAGCCGAAGGAAUUUCACCUCUAUGCAAGGAUGCUCAAAGACUCUGCCUCUCAGCUACGCAGCGCAGGGGAGGGAUUGCUGCCGCGUACUCCUGGACUGGACAAGUUCUGAUAGGGGGCCCUAUCUUUCACCUGUCGGCCUGACCCAGGGCAUAUGAGAAAGAAGCUUUCUUUAAAGAACAGGAGCCUACCCUGUACCACUGGUGUAAAAUGAUGGUAGCAGUAGAAAGACACCCGGUUGUGGAGAGACGUAAGCCAUGGAUGGACCGACCCCCGAACCCCCCAAUGUCGAUUUGGACAAAGGAUUAACGCUGGCAUGCUUCGUCUUCCUCUGCCUCUUCUUGAUUGUCAUGAUCAUCCGUUGCGCCAGAGUCAUCAUGGACCCUUACAGCGCCAUCCCCACGUCCACGUGGGAGGAGCAACACCUGGAUGAUUGACAGGCGGUUGAGAAAGAGGCGGGCAACCGGGCCAAGCAAGGGAGAAUGAGCAUGGACCGGCCUGUUGCUCCGUUUGGAUGACACCGCUUUUUCAAGAAGCAUACGGCCACAUCAGUUCCUCGGAGAGCACAGUUUCUUGGUCUUAUCAGCUGGGAUGCGCCCUUGCGUCCCUCAUUCUCCAGCCCUAUUUCUAUGGAAUGACCUCCAGGUUUUAACGAGGAAAUAAUAAUAAUGAUGAUGAUCGUAAGCAAAGUAGCACAAAAGCUCUCUAGGCACUAAAUCCUCAGCUGAGCUUUUUCUAGUGGAAUCUCUCUUAAGCACCUAUUCCCUCCAUUUAAAUCAACAUCUGUGAUUUGGAAUGGCACACAGACCUUGUUCAACAUAGACCAUGAACACUCAGGCGUAGAUAUCAGGGUAUGAGGGUUCAAGAUUUUCUUGUUGACCAAAGUGGGAGAGGGAGGGAGUUAUUUCAGAAUCGAUUAGCAAUAAAAAAGGCUUUUGGGGUGGGUGGGUUUCUCCCCCUUCAGCACAAUAACUAUACACUAUAAGGUCGAUUGCAUUUUUUUUAAAAAAACGGUAACAGAACAGAUGUCAGCGUAUGAGAAAAGGAUCACUAUUCUUCCUCCGCUACUAUUGUGCAGUUACGGCAACUUAACUGGUGCCAUAACAGACCCACUGAGAUAGAAGAGGCACCAGCCAUGCCCCAGAGAUGAGGAAAUUUUGUGGGGUUGGAUCACCACUUGUGGAAUAUCCAGCCAGUGUGGCUACUAAGGGAUUCUUGAGACAUAGUCCACAAAAGUUACUUUUCUGAUUCUAAUGAGCAAGGGCAGUCUUAACUGGACCGCCUUCAGGCCCAAUGCUAAUUUUUUUUCGCCUGUCCGGCUGCCCUUAAAGGCUUAGAGGAUGGAAGAUGGAGGCACUAAUGCAUUCACUUGUAUUGCUUCUUCCUUUUCUAAAGUGGCACAGUUUUCCUGACCCUCUGGAACUUUUGCCCCGGAGGCUGGUAGGGAGAAGGGAAAAGCCAACCUAGAUCCUUUUCAAUACCUCCCCUGCUGAUCCUUCUGAAUCUCCUCCUGCAUCCCAUCUCCAGAGGUUUCUCCAAGGCCAACCAAGUUGACCACGACUUUCCCUUCAAAGAGGCGUGGAAGUCUCACAUCUGCAGGAGUAGCUGCUUUGGGUCGUGGAGAGGUACUGGUGCUGGCCUGCAUGAGACCAAGUGCCUCAGCAAAUUUUUAUUUGACAGCAAAUAAAAUAACAUUGAUUUCCAAUCUUCUCAUCGCCCCGCCCCACCCGUUCCCUCCAGUUACUCUCAAGAGAAAGGAGACCUUGUAGCAAAUGUAUUACUUAAUAAAACAAAUGCUUACCAGAAAGUGCUGUGUCAU